rnacentral:rRNA from 1 species
GAUGAACGCUGGCGGCGUGCCUAAUACAUGCAAGUCGAGCGAACGGACGAGAAGCUUGCUUCUCUGAUGUUAGCGGCGGACCGGUGAGUAACACGUGGAUAACCUACCUAUAAGACUGGGAUAACUUCGGGAAACCGGAGCUAAUACCGGAUAAUAUUUUGAACCGCAUGGUUCAAAAGUGAAAGACGGUCUUGCUGUCACUUAUAGAUGGAUCCGCGCUGCAUUAGCUAGUUGGUAAGGUAACGGCUUACCAAGGCAACGAUGCAUAGCCGACCUGAGAGGGUGAUCGGCCACACUGGAACUGAGACACGGUCCAGACUCCUACGGGAGGCAGCAGUAGGGAAUCUUCCGCAAUGGGCGAAAGCCUGACGGAGCAACGCCGCGUGAGUGAUGAAGGUCUUCGGAUCGUAAAACUCUGUUAUUAGGGAAGAACAUAUGUGUAAGUAACUGUGCACAUCUUGACGGUACCUAAUCAGAAAGCCACGGCUAACUACGUG